GACGAACGCUGGCGGCGUGCUUAACACAUGCAAGUCGAACGGAAAGGCCUUGCUUUUGUGGGGUGCUCGAGUGGCGAACGGGUGAGUAACACGUGAGUAACCUGCCCUUGACUUUGGGAUAACUUCAGGAAACUGGGGCUAAUACCGGAUAGGAGCUCCUGCUGCAUGGUGGGGGUUGGAAAGUUUCGGCGGUUGGGGAUGGACUCGCGGCUUAUCAGCUUGUUGGUGGGGUAGUGGCUUACCAAGGCUUUGACGGGUAGCCGGCCUGAGAGGGUGACCGGCCACAUUGGGACUGAGAUACGGCCCAGACUCCUACGGGAGGCAGCAGUGGGGAAUAUUGCACCAUGGGCGGAAGCCUGAUGCAGCAACGCCGCGUGCGGGAUGACGGCCUUCGGGUUGUAAACCGCUUUCGCCUGUGACGAAGCGUGAGUGACGGUAAUGGGUAAAGAAGCACCGGCUAACUACGUG
rnacentral:rRNA from 1 species